GAUAAUCGGAGCCUUUGCUGUUGUUUGAUGCUUCGAUCUUCACUUAGCGGAUGUUUUGGGUGAUUUUCCGACAUCUCUGACCCUAUUCCGGUAAGUUUACAGUACGGUUUCCGGUGGUUGGACCUAGGGUUUUAUCUGGCGAUUGAAGGCCGUUCUUCUCCGGUCGCGAAGAAGGAGGGUAACUCUAUCCCUGUUCUAAGUGUUUAGGGUUUUAUCUGGCGAUUGAAGGCCGUUCUUCUCCGGUCGCGAAGAAGGAGGGUAACUCUAUCCUUGUUCUAAGUGUUGUAUGUUUUUCAUGUGGGUUCUGAGACUGUUUUUUUUAUUUCAAACUGAUUAUUGUUCAUGGCUUCUAAUAUGAAUACUAGUACCUCCUCGGUGGACUCUACCAGCCCCCUUUUUGUUUACUCCUUUGAUGUUCCUGGAGUCUCUCUUGUGUCCACUCCCUUCUCGGGCAGUGGUUAUGGGGGUUGGAGNNNN
rnacentral:lncRNA from 1 species